GCGACAGAUCACGACUCCAUCUCAAAAUAAAUAAAUAAAUAAAUUAUACAUUGGGCUCUUUUGCCUUUUAUUCUUGUGCUUUCUAAUCACAACUAAACACUAAACUCACAUCUUGGCUUUGCAGAUCACUCUAAGCUUGGCUGCAGCUGUGGUGCUGAGGAGGCUAAUAGAGAAGCUCCCUCGCUCUCAACCCCACCCCUUCCUUCCGGGAGCAAACCCAAGUCUGGUCCCGACUCCGGAUCCCUCCCACAUUAGACCUACCACACCCUCAGGGCAGACAACAGCUCCACACACCCCACACUCAGCCACCAGGGCAAGGGAGCAAAAUUCCAGAAAGCUCAGCCUCCAGGAUAUUAUGUGUGCACCGGCGUGGGAUCCUGGAACUGGCAGGAAUUGUGGGUUGUGUUAGUCCCUAGACUCCCAUCGCCUAUAUGAAAUAUGGUUCCUUUUGUGGCUUGGGAGGCCAUGGCCAGCCCUGCGAUGCCAUUGACUGGUGCUGCCAUGGCCACGACUGUUGUUACACUCGAGCUGAGGAGGCCGGCUGCAGCCCCAAGACAGAGCGCUACUCCUGGCAGUGCGUCAAUCAGAGCGUCCUGUGCG
rnacentral:lncRNA from 1 species